rnacentral:rRNA from 1 species
ACGGAAGGCAGCAGUGGGGGAUAUUGCACAAUGGGGGGAACCCUGAUGUAGCGACGCCGCGUGAGUGAAGAAGUAUUUCGGUAUGUAAAGCUCUUUAAGCUGGAAAGACAAUGACGGUACCAGCAGAAUAAGCCCCGGCUAACUACGUGCCAGCAGCCGCGGUAAUACGUAGGGGGCAAGCGUUAUCCGGAUUUACUGGGUGUAAAGGGAGCGUAGACGGCAUAGCAAGUCUGAAGUGAAAUCAUAGGGCUUAACCCUGUAAUUGCUUUGGAAACCGUUAAGCUUGAGUACCGGAGGGGCAGGCGGAAUUCCUGGUGUAGCGGUGAAAUGCGUAGAUAUCAGGAAGAACACCGGUGGCGAAGGCGGCCUGCUGGACGGUAACUGACGUUGAUGCUCGAAAGCGUGGGGCGCAAACAGGAUUAGAUACCCUGGUA